rnacentral:rRNA from 1 species
AUGCAACCCCCUCCUGCACCUCCCCCUGACACCACCAUCAUCCCUCCUAGUCCACUUCAUGCUCGUCGAGGCUAAGUUGUUCUCGGUGGUGAUCUCCCUAUGGUCUGGGACGAAUGGGCGAUCGCCACGCUCAUCCCCGAGGUUUCUGCAGAGGAAUUCCAUGGUGCCAUCGCCAUCAUCACCAACUUUCUUGAAGUUCGUGGAUGGCGCAUCAACUAUACAUCGCGAUGUGGUAUGGGCACAGCUUUGAUUCAGUUUACCACUACAUGCUCUAGAGAUAUAGAAGUUCGUAGCCGUCCUUUUCAGAUCGGUGAUACUGUUUUGAGGAUUAGUAGGCAAGAUCGAGGUCUGAACUAUCGUAGUAUCAUGUUUACUCAUGAUGUUUGGAACAUGCUCAUGAAUUAUCCUCUAGAAUGCUGGGAUGUUGUUGUGAUUGGCCGCACUGUGUCACCGUAUGGUAGGUUUCUGAUCGGGAAUAAGGAUCCUAGAGAUAAAACCAGAGUUAUUAUCAAGCUCAGUGUCAUGAAUGUAGACACUGUUCCAAUCAGCAUAGUUGUGCUUCGUAGCGAUGAUGUUGGUUAUGGUGACUCAUGGACAUGCCCAACUUAUAUUCUGUCACGUGAUCUUAUUGGGCAACAGGGAGGAGAUGAGAAUCCACUUCCAUCGGAUGGUGGUAACCCACAUCCCCUGCCUCAUGUUCAUGGUGGCUUUUGG